rnacentral:rRNA from 1 species
UACGGGGGGAGCAAGCGUUGUUCGGAUUUACUGGGCGUAAAGGGCGCGUAGGCGGCUUAUCAAGUCAGGGGUGAAAUCCGGCAGCUCAACUGUCGAAGUGCCUUUGAUACUGAUGAGCUCGAGGGAGGUAGGGGUGUGCGGAACUUCCGGUGGAGCGGUGAAAUGCGUUGAUAUCGGAAGGAACGCCGGUGGCGAAAGCGGCGCACUGGACCUCUUCUGACGCUGAGGCGCGAAAGCCAGGGGAGCAAACGGG